AUUGAACGCUGGCGGCAGGCCUAACACAUGCAAGUCGAGCGGAUGAGUGGAGCUUGCUCCAUGAUUCAGCGGCGGACGGGUGAGUAAUGCCUAGGAAUCUGCCUGGUAGUGGGGGACAACGUUUCGAAAGGAACGCUAAUACCGCAUACGUCCUACGGGAGAAAGCAGGGGACCUUCGGGCCUUGCGCUAUCAGAUGAGCCUAGGUCGGAUUAGCUAGUAGGUGAGGUAAUGGCUCACCUAGGCGACGAUCCGUAACUGGUCUGAGAGGAUGAUCAGUCACACUGGAACUGAGACACGGUCCAGACUCCUACGGGAGGCAGCAGUGGGGAAUAUUGGACAAUGGGCGAAAGCCUGAUCCAGCCAUGCCGCGUGUGUGAAGAAGGUCUUCGGAUUGUAAAGCACUUUAAGUUGGGAGGAAGGGCGUUUGGCUAAUAUCCAGGCGUUUUGACGUUACCAACAGAAUAAGCACCGGCUUACUUCGUGCCAGCCGCCGCCGUAACAC
rnacentral:rRNA from 1 species